UACGUAGGGUGCGAGCGUUGUCCGGAUUUAUUGGGCGUAAAGAGCUCGUAGGCGGUUUGUCGCGUCGGCCGUGAAAUCUCCACGCUUAACGUGGAGCGUGCGGUCGAUACGGGCAGACUUGAGUUCGGUAGGGGAGACUGGAAUUCCUGGUGUAGCGGUGAAAUGCGCAGAUAUCAGGAGGAACACCAAUAGCGAAGGCAGCUCGCUGGGACGUUACUGACACUGAGGCGCGAAAGCGUGGGGAGCGAACAGG
rnacentral:rRNA from 1 species